CCGAGCCGUGUCCGAUUUUCCGUCGGAACAUCGCCGGUGAUGUCAAAAUUGCCUGGAAAAACCAGCGAUCGCGCGCUUCGAGGUCGAUGACUCCCCGGGUUUCGAACUCCGGGUCGUCAGGAACGAGCGCAGCCCAUUCCCAGUGAAGCCCCUCCCACACGACGCGAUCGGGACGCGUACUCGCGAAGCCUUCGACGCGCAUUUCCGCGAGCGCUUCUUUGGCGGCACGCUCCAGGAUUUCUCGCAAGCGCCGGUCAGGAGCGAAGGGCCUUCCUUUGGCAAUCCCGAGUGCAGCAAGCUCGCCAUACAUGGGGCGAAAUUCCGCCAGCAUCGGCUCC
rnacentral:misc_RNA from 1 species